rnacentral:rRNA from 1 species
GAUGAACGCUGGCGGCGCGCCUAACACAUGCAAGUCGAACGGCACCCCUCUCCGGAGGGAAGCGAGUGGCGAACGGCUGAGUAACACGUGGAGAACCUGCCCCCUCCCCCGGGAUAGCCGCCCGAAAGGACGGGUAAUACCGGAUACCCCGGGGUGCCGCAUGGCACCCCGGCUAAAGCCCCGACGGGAGGGGAUGGCUCCGCGGCCCAUCAGGUAGACGGCGGGGUGACGGCCCACCGUGCCGACAACGGGUAGCCGGGUUGAGAGACCGACCGGCCAGAUUGGGACUGAGACACGGCCCAGACUCCUACGGGAGGCAGCAGUGGGGAAUCUUGCGCAAUGGGGGGAACCCUGACGCAGCGACGCCGCGUGCGGGACGGAGGCCUUCGGGUCGUAAACCGCUUUCAGCAGGGAAGAGUCAAGACUGUACCUGCAGAAGAAGCC